rnacentral:rRNA from 1 species
CCUGACGCAGCGACGCCGCGUGAGUGAAGAAGGCUUUCGGGUCGUAAAGCUCUGUCAAAUGGGAAAAAGGCCUUUAGUUGAAUAGGCUGAAGGAUUGAUGGUACCAUUGGAGGAAGCACCGGCUAACUCCGUGCCAGCAGCCGCGGUAAUACGGAGGGUGCGAGCGUUGUUCGGAAUUAUUGGGCGUAAAGAGCGUGUAGGCGGGUUGGUAAGUCAGAUGUGAAAGCCCCGGGCUCAACCCGGGAAGUGCAUUUGAAACCGCCUUUCUUGAGUAUGGGAGAGGAGAGUGGAAUUCCCAGUGUAGAGGUGAAAUUCGUAGAUAUUGGGAGGAACACCCGUGGCGAAGGCGACUCUCUGGACCAAUACUGACGCUGAGACGCGAAAGCGUGGGGAGCAAACAGGAUUAGAUACCCUGGUAGUCCACGCCGUAAACGAUGAGAACUAGGUGUAGCGGGUAUUGACCCCUGCUGUGCCGGAGCUAACGCAUUAAGUUCUCCGCCUGGGGAGUACGGCCGCAAGGCUAAAACUCAAAUGAAUUGACGG